GCCAGACUCCUACGGGAGGCAGCAGUGGGGAAUAUUGCACAAUGGGGGAAACCCUGAUGCAGCGACGCCGCGUGAGCGAUGAAGUAUUUCGGUAUGUAAAGCUCUAUCAGCAGGGAAGAAAAUGACGGUACCUGACUAAGAAGCCCCGGCUAACUACGUGCCAGCAGCCGCGGUAAUACGUAGGGGGCAAGCGUUAUCCGGAUUUACUGGGUGUAAAGGGAGCGUAGACGGCGGUGCAAGCCAGAUGUGAAAGCCCGGGGCUCAACCCCGGGACUGCUCUUGGAACUGCGCGGCUGGAGUGCAGGAGGGGCAGGCGGAAUUCCUGGUGUAGCGGUGAAAUGCGUAGAUAUCAGGAGGAACACCGGUGGCGAAGGCGGCCUGCUGGACUGCGACUGACGUUGAGGCCCGAAAGCGUGGGGAGCAAACAGGAUUAGAUACCCCCGUA
rnacentral:rRNA from 1 species